AAAAAAGGCAGACUAACUGCGGAUUAAUGGACCUGUGUUUGCUCUUCUUUCUCUCGCCCCGGCUCCCCGAGGCACCCGCUCCCUCCAGACCCUUCCCUUCCCGGCCCCGCGAGGAGAUAAAUCCUGGGAAAAGAGCCGGGGGGAUCGCAGCACAGCCUCCUGCGGAGUCUGGGAGGUUUCCUCAUCGGCUUCAAGGGGAAUAAGACGGCUCAGGCCUCGAGGAUGGCAAUUACGCCUCCGGCUGAAGCUGGCAGGUGACCACUUAUGAGGAGGAGGUGGCAGCGUCGCGGCGCUGUCCCCCGUAAGGCGGAUCAGAGGCUGGGUGUUUUGGGGACGGGGAUUAAGGCUCGGUGCCCAGGGCUGAUGAGAGGUGAGGGACAGCCGGCUGUGACACGAGCCGAGGAGCGGAACAGAAAAGGCAAAGGAGGAUCCAGCUUGGCAGCCAGGAACGAAGCAAUUCACGCAAGGCAGGUCACAACUUCAACAAAAGGGGAAAAGCAUUUCCCUUGCCCGCACCCGCUGGCAUGGGAGAAGGGGGGACACCCAAGAGGACCAAGUGGUGGCAAGCCGGAUCUCCACAAGGCAAAAUAACAAAAAAAUAAAAAGCCCUUUUAUGAUUAACGAGGAGAGCGA
rnacentral:lncRNA from 1 species